rnacentral:rRNA from 1 species
GCGUGCGCAGGCGGUUUGCUAAGACAGUUGUGAAAUCCCCGGGCUCAACCUGGGAACUGCAAUUGUGACUGGUAGACUAGAGUUUGGCAGAGGGGGGUGGAAUUCCUGGUGUAGCAGUGAAAUGCGUAGAUAUCAGAAGGAAUACCAAUGGCGAAGGCAGCUCUCUGGCUCGUCACUGACGCUGAGGUGCGAAAGCGUGGGUAGCAAACAGGAUUAGAUACCCUGGUAGUCCACGCCGUAAACGAUGACAACUAGCCGUUGGGCAGAUUUAACUGUUCAGUGGCACAGCUAACGCAUUAAGUUGUCCGCCUGGGGAGUACGGCCGCAAGGCUAAAACUCAAAUGAAUUGACGGGGGCCCGCACAAGUGGUGGAGCAUGUGGUUUAAUUCGAUGCAACGCGAAGAACCUUACCAAUCCUUGAAAUCUAGCGAAGUUCGCAGAGAUGUGAAUGUGCCUUCGGGAACGCUAUGACAGGUGUUGCAUGGCU